UGGGGAAUAUUGCACAAUGGGCGCAAGCCUGAUGCAGCCAUGCCGCGUGUGUGAAGAAGGCCUUCGGGUUGUAAAGCACUUUCAGCGAGGAGGAAGGUGGUGAGCUUAAUACGCUCAUCAAUUGACGUUACUCGCAGAAGAAGCACCGGCUAACUCCGUGCCAGCAGCCGCGGUAAUACGGAGGGUGCAAGCGUUAAUCGGAAUUACUGGGCGUAAAGCGCACGCAGGCGGUUUGUUAAGUCAGAUGUGAAAUCCCCGGGCUCAACCUGGGAACUGCAUUUGAAACUGGCAAGCUAGAGUCUCGUAGAGGGGGUAGAAUUCCAGGUGUAGCGGUGAAAUGCGUAGAGAUCUGGAGGAAUACCGGUGGCGAAGGCGGCCCCCUGGACGAAGACUGACGCUCAGGUGCGAAAGCGUGGGGAGCAAACAGGAUUAGAUACCCCUGGUAGUCCACGCUGUAAACGAUGUCGAUUUUGGAGGUUGUGCCCUUGAGGCGUGGCUUCCGGAGCUAACGCGUUAAAUCGACCGCCUGGGGAGUACGGCCGCAAGGUUAAAACUUAAAGGAAUUGACGGGGUC
rnacentral:rRNA from 1 species